UGGGGAAUUUUGGACAAUGGGCGCAAGCCUGAUCCAGCCAUGCCGCGUGUCUGAAGAAGGCCUUCGGGUUGUAAAGGACUUUUGUCAGGGAGCAAAACUUACUGGUUAAUACCUGGUGAGGUUGAGAGUACCUGAAGAAUAAGCACCGGCUAACUACGUGCCAGCAGCCGCGGUAAUACGUAGGGUGCAAGCGUUAAUCGGAAUUACUGGGCGUAAAGCGUGCGCAGGCGGACUUUUAAGCCAGAUGUGAAAGCCCCGAGCUUAACUUGGGAAUUGCGUUUGGAACUGGGAGUCUAGAGUCUGUCAGAGGGGGAUGGAAUUCCACGUGUAGCAGUGAAAUGCGUAGAGAUGUGGAGGAACACCGAUGGCGAAGGCAGUCCCCUGGGAUAAGACUGACGCUCAUGCACGAAAGCGUGGGGAGCAAACA
rnacentral:rRNA from 1 species